UCGGGUGCUGGGUAGGAGAGAGAAGAACAUGAGAAAAUGCCCUGCUUACAGGGGACAUCUGCAGGAGUAUCGGGGCGUGCCCGAGGUGCAAAGGACCUUCUAAGAGAAGUUCUUUGUCUCUACGUAUUGUUUUACGCUGGAGAUGCUGCUAGGAGGCAGCUGAAGAUUGGCUGUCCAGAGCUCGUUCAGCGCUCACCCUCGGAACUGAGCGUAGCUUAGUCAGUUUCCGGAUAAAUACCAAAAAAAGUCCCAAGCAGAAGAAAAAAAAAACCCUGGACAUGUAGAAAAAAGAAGAAAAAUCGAGGAUGUAGCAGGGUAAGAUGGCCAAACACUUUGGUAGAGUUAAUCACUGCCCUUCUUUUGGAGUGAAUGGGCCUGCAUCCAGUUGAAUCAACUGUGGUCCAGCCAACAGACUCCAGCUGGAAGAGACUCGGUUUGCUCUGUCUUCACAGAUGUUAGAAACAGACAAGACCAGUGAAGACGGCUAAUUACGAACCACACAGACAGACAGUGAAGACUGCACACUCCACCAAGAGACCAAGAUGCAGGCUACAGUUUUUCACCAGGAGAAAGAAGAUAACACUUCUUCUUCAUAAGAAGAAAGUGUAAUAAAAAUCAGUCAUGGAUUCACCAUGUGAAGUGACAGCCUCCAUCACUCCCCUCCAUUAAGCCCUAUCCUGCAUCCCUGUGCUGUAGCUGUGGAACUUCAUCCAUUAGUGCCACGCUGUGGGUCCACCUUAGUCCCUCAACUCAGGGUGCUGGUUGGAGGGAGCUGGAUGCUGCAGAAAGCAAGCAUAUGCUGGAGACCUGCCUAUGUAACACAGGACCUAGCACAGGCUGAAAGGGCAAACUGGUUCCCUUUGGACUGUGCAUACUUCUGAGGGGAAUGAAUUUGGUACAGAGGACUAAUUGGGUGAGUCACUGGUAAGACUUCAACAUCAUGAGUAGGAACAAAAAUCUCAGUGGAACAGUACAGUAAUAAUUUAAACUUUUUUAUAAUUUGCAGUGAAGAAAAAGAGAACCCUUCAUCCAAAGGAAAUUUUACACCAGUGAUUGUUCUGACACGAGCAGUGGACAAUAAGGGAGGUGCCAGCCCAGGAAAACGUGUGUGGAGCCAUUGGCAGAACACGCAUGGGAAGAUAAAAAUUAAAAAUCCAAGUGAACUCUCUGGCAUAUUGCAGCUGAUGACAAUAAAGCUCCCGCACUAAUACUUCAGUAGGAAAAGGUGCCAAUAAAGAGCUUUUUGAAAAGCACACAUAAUCAGAGCUUGAUCUGUAUUUAGAACAACUGCGUUUCAGAGCAUGCAUGGAGCUGUCACCUGAGGACACUUUUUCCAAAAUAAAACAGAAACCCAGAGUAGCUGCAUUAUUAAAGACUGGGGACUUGUAAAAAUGGAGGCUGAGAAAGCAAAGCAAACUCCUCAGUCAAACUCAGUGCUGUCAAAUCCAUCUCAUCCUGGAAUGGGUGAGAGCUGAUAUUAAACUUCAUGGGGAUUCUGA